AUAUAAGAGAUAUUUUAAAUUAAUACAAACGUGAAAUAGACAAAAUUGUUGGUACGAAGCACAAAGAGGUUAAGUGAACACGUGGAAGAGAUGAAGGGAAGCUACCCAAGGAAAGAAUUGUGCAGUUAAUUACAAGAGUAUGUUACAGAUUUUACAAAUUGGGACUUCAAGUUAGCAUCAUUAAUUAUGGCUUCCAUUAUGGCAUAUAUAUGACUGAAUACGAUCAUUACUUCUUCUGUAGGAACAGAAAGGCCUCCUCUUUCAAUAGAAUGGGACCCAUAACCAGAUAUGUAAAUUUUAAUGGAAUCAUCAACAACACAAGUCACAACAACAUACAAUUCAGUUUCAAAGAUUCCCAGGAAACAAGUUACAUCAAUGGAAAGAUCAUGAAGAUUAUUAUCGUUAUCACAAAUUUCAAAUCUA